CAUAUGGUUUGUUACUUUCUCAGCUUUGCCUUUGGCAAGCCUUAUGAUUUGUGUGUGAUAAUGAAGUUCUUGUGUUUGCUGAUAUGAAGGUAUACUUUCUUCUGACAUUUCCCGUUUGAGGGAUGUCAUGUGCCAAGCAAAGUCAGGGAUGGGGAAGACUGCUUGUGGUAUUGUCCCACACGAGAGAGCUGGCUUACCAGGUUACUCUAUUCUAUGGAGGUAUUCACAUGAAGAAACACUAAGGGUUUAUUUGCCAUCCUCACUGUGGUGGGCACAACUGGAAGGAUUCUAGCUCUAGCUAGAGAGAAGGACCUUUCUUUGAUGAAUGUGAUGCAUUUCAUUCUUGAUGAGUGUGAUGAGAUGCUAGUCACUUGGGGAGAAUUGGAGCUGGAGCAAGUCAGGAGGUAGCGAUGGCUGCCGGAUCCACCAGGCAGGCUGUGUGGUAGCUUUGUUUUUCGACUCCGUGGGUUUAGCAGGUAAAGAAAGAAGAAGAGCAAGAAGGCUACAGAGAAGGAUCUGCCCUGAUCCUUUCACUUUUUUGCAUUUGAUCUUCUUGGUGCGGUAGUUUGGUAAAUGCGCACGUCAGCGAUAUGUGUAGUACCUACCUGUGAGCAAGGUUGGAUCGUGUGCUGUACGAACAACUGUUUGUUGACUGUUGCAAAAAGAGGGAAGGGCAUGGCAAAAUUUUGAGCACUAUGGCUAAUUAAACUUGCAUUGACU